CUUGGUGGAUCAGUGGCGAACGGGUGAGUAACACGUGAGCAACCUGCCCUGGACUCUGGGAUAAGCGCUGGAAACGGCGUCUAAUACUGGAUAUGAGGCGUGACCGCAUGGUCAUGUUUGGAAAGAAUUUCGGUCUGGGAUGGGCUCGCGGCCUAUCAGCUUGUUGGUGAGGUAAUGGCUCACCAAGGCGUCGACGGGUAGCCGGCCUGAGAGGGUGACCGGCCACACUGGGACUGAGACACGGCCCAGACUCCUACGGGAGGCAGCAGUGGGGAAUAUUGCACAAUGGGCGGAAGCCUGAUGCAGCAACGCCGCGUGAGGGAUGACGGCCUUCGGGUUGUAAACCUCUUUUAGCAGGGAAGAAGCGAAAGUGACGGUACCUGCAGAAAAAGCGCCGGCUAACUACGUGCCAGCAGCCGCGGUAAUACGUAGGGCGCAAGCGUUAUCCGGAAUUAUUGGGCGUAAAGAGCUCGUAGGCGGUUUGUCGCGUCUGCUGUGAAAUCCCGAGGCUCAACCUCGGGCCUGCAGUGGGUACGGGCAGACUAGAGUGCGGUAGGGGAGAUUGGAAUUCCUGGUGUAGCGGUGGAAUGCGCAGAUAUCAGGAGGAACACCGAUGGCGAAGGCAGAUCUCUGGGCCGUAACUGACGCUGAG
rnacentral:rRNA from 1 species